rnacentral:rRNA from 1 species
GCAGUAGGGAAUAUUGGGCAAUGGACGAGAGUCUGACCCAGCCAUGCCGCGUGCAGGAAGAAGGCUUUCUGAGUCGUAAACUGCUUUUGACAGGGAAGAAUAAGGACUACGUGUAGUCUGAUGACGGUACCUGCAGAAUAAGCACCGGCUAACUCCGUGCCAGCAGCCGCGGUAAUACGGAGGGUGCGAGCGUUGUCCGGAUUUAUUGGGUUUAAAGGGUGCGUAGGCGGCCGUUUAAGUCUGGGGUGAAAGCCCGCUGCUCAACAGCGGAACUGCCCUGGAUACUGGAUGGCUUGAGUACAGACGAGGUUGGCGGAAUGGACAGAGUAGCGGUGAAAUGCAUAGAUACUGUCCAGAACCCCGAUUGCGAAGGCAGCUGACUAGGCUGUUACUGACGCUGAGGCACGAAAGCGUGGGGAGCGAACAGGAUUAGA